CAGAGUUAUUCGACUCCAAAACCCAUGUGAACUUACCCGUGUUGCCUCGGCGGGAAGGCCUACCCGGGAGCUACCCGGGACUUACCCGGUAGCUACCCGGUAGCUACCCUGUAGUUGGCCGACCUGCCAGAGGACAUUAUAAACUCUUGUUUUGCCGUGGCACUCUGAGUAACUAUAAAUGAAUGAAUUA
rnacentral:misc_RNA from 1 species